CUUCCUUUCCCGCGCGACCGGCGAGGGAGGAAGAAGCGCGAAGAGCCGUUAGUCAUGCCGGUGUGGUGGCGGCGGCGGAGACUGCGGGCCCGUAGCUGGGCUCUGCGAGCAUAUAGGUUGCUGUAGAUGAAUGUUCUUAGCUGUCAUGUUUAAAAAUACUUCUGCUUCGUUACCUCAAGUGUGGCAUGCAGCAUUUUGGAAGGAAAAUUGAAGACGUGUUCAAGAAAACAUGAACAGAAGCAAAUGAUGAAAAUGAGCAUUUUACUUGAUGUUGAUAACAUCACAAUAAAUUAUGGAGAAAAAUACAUAUUUGGCUAACUUUUAAUUGCUGAACAAUAAAGUGUUUUCUUUUAAAUCAACUCUAAAUAGCUCCA
ensembl:lncRNA SNHG6 small nucleolar RNA host gene 6